UCUACCUUUAUUGAAGCUUACAAUAAUCUGGUAAGUUGAUAAUGGUCUAAUAUGUCAAAAUGUGGUAUCCUUCUUGAUGGUGAGCCAGGUUAGUUAAUGAUCGACUUUCUUGCACAUUAAAAGAGGAAUGCUCUCAAAGAUGCUGGACAUGCUCUCAAAGACGCUGGACAUUAUAGGUCAUGCUUUGCUUUACAACCUAACCAUCCACAAGCAUUGUCAAGCCUUAGCAGCAUAUACAUGGAUUGCAACAUGAUGAGUGUUCCUGCAUCAUUCUAUAAGGCAACUUUAGCAGUUACAACAGGGAUAUCUGCGCCCUUCAACAACUUGGCUAUUAUAUACAAGCAACAGGUAGAGUACUAUAUCUGCCUUUUUCAUUGCAAUCAUGUACUAACAACAUGUUCA